rnacentral:rRNA from 1 species
AGCGAACGCUGGCGGCGUGCUUAACACAUGCAAGUCGAGCGAAGGUGUUUCAAGGGUAACCUUGAGAUACACUUAGCGGCGGACGGGUGAGUAAUACGUGGAUAACUUACCUCUAGGCCUGGGAUAACCCCGGGAAACUGGGGCUAAUACCUGAUAAGACCACAUUGUCUACGGACAAAAGGGGUAAAAGGUGGCUGUGCAAACAGCUAUCGCCAAAAAGAUAGGUUCACGUCCCAUCAGGCAGUUGGUGAGGUAAUGGCUCACCAAACCAAAGACGGGUAGCCGGCCUUGGCGGGUGAACGGCCACACGGGGACUGAGACACGGCCCCGACUCCUACGGGA